rnacentral:rRNA from 1 species
UACGCAGGGGGCUAGCGUUGUUCGGAAUUACUGGGCGUAACGCGCACGUAGGAGGAUCCUUAAGUCGGAGGUGAAAUCGCGGAGCUCAAAUCCGGAACUGCCUUCGAUACUGGGGAUCUUGAGUUCGAGAGAGGUGAGUGUAAUUCCGAGUGUAGAGGUGAAAUUCGUAGAUAUUCGGAGGAACACCAGUUGCGAAGGCGGCUCACUGGCUCGAUACUGACGCUGAGGUGCGAAAGCGUGGGGAGCAAACAGG